rnacentral:lncRNA from 1 species
UGGUUUCCUAUCUCAUUGGGUCACAGCUCUGUGUGGAUUUAGGACUGGCAGAUGGCCUCUGCACCUCACUGUGAUGACUUCAUUCUGCUGUCUGCAAAGGUCCCCCUUCAUUGCCUCUGCACAGAGUUACUUUGCUGUCAGAAUGGUCCCCUGCUUACUACUGCUACCCUGUUGGGUGCUGAAAGUCAGCAUCUGAAGUCCUUCGGAUCAGUUAGCUGUUUCCUGCAGUGAGAUCUUCCUUCAGGACAAAGCUUUGCUCUGUCAUGUUGUGAUGCCGCCUCCAGUUCUGUUAGCUUUCACAGCUCAGAGUGUGCGCUGCUGCUGAAGGAGCCGUGGAGCUGUGACAGCCUUCCCACCAAUUCAUGCAUCAGCCUGGAAGCAGCCUCAUGAGCCACCAGCAGACAAUUGGAUUCAUAACACACUGAAGGAAACAGCAACAUUUUUUUUUUUCCUGUUAGAUGGAGAAAUGAAAACUAAAAUUUGAGAUGUUUUUGCAGCCAAAGUUGGUUAUAGGAAAGCCAGUAAAUGUGUUCCUACG